AGCGAACGCUGGCGGCAGGCUUAACACAUGCAGGUCGAGCGGACCUUUCGGGGUCAGCGGCGGACGGGUGAGUAACGCGUGGGAACGUGCCUUCCGGUUCGGAAUAACCCUGGGAAACUAGGGCUAAUACCGGAUACGCCCUUAUGGGGAAAGGUUUACUGCCGGAAGAUCGGCCCGCGUCUGAUUAGCUAGUUGGUGGGGUAACGGCCUACCAAGGCGACGAUCAGUAGCUGGUCUGAGAGGAUGAUCAGCCACACUGGGACUGAGACACGGCCCAGACUCCUACGGGAGGCAGCAGUGGGGAAUAUUGGACAAUGGGCGCAAGCCUGAUCCAGCCAUGCCGCGUGAGUGAUGAAGGCCUUAGGGUUGUAAAGCUCUUUUAUCCGGGACGAUAAUGACGGUACCGGAGGAAUAAGCCCCGGCUAACUUCGUG
rnacentral:rRNA from 1 species